GAGGGAAUAGCUCAAGUGGUAAGGUGCAUGCUUAGCAUGCAUGAGGUCCUGGGUUCAAUCCCCAGUACCUCCU
rfam:Camelus ferus unplaced genomic scaffold scaffold351, whole genome shotgun sequence.